UUAUCAGUCUGUCGCAACUUCAUAGUAAAAAAUAAAUGUAUGAAACGGGAAUAAAUUUUAAUGGCGACUAUAUUUGUCUCGCUCACUUUCUUAGUGUUCCUCAAUCUCUCCCACAAUGUCAUUCGAAUCAUUGUCUUUGCGCUCUGUGUCAAUCAAAUGUUACCGGCGGUAUCAUAUUUUUUAGGUGAAAAAGUGUUCAUUUACCAAGUGUAUUACUGCAAAUAGGUGUUUCAAAGUGUUUAUUCGGAUUUAGCGUUAUUUAGAACAUUUUAUUUAUAAGAAUGGCUUAUAGAAAAUGUGUAAUAUGUGGUUUGAGAUCGGAGCGUAAAGAUGGCAUAAAACGUUAUUUUAUGGCUAGAUUUCCUCUAGAUGAACGUCGUUAACUUGGAAUUUCUUUAUUUAACAGAUCUUUGUUUUGAUUUUCAUUCUUAAUUUUAGUUUUUUCUCUAAUAAAUUAGUUUUUGAAAGUUUUAAAUCAGGGAAAUAGUGUUGGGAAACAGAAUAUUUACAUUGUCGAUAUUUUUACUUUCAGGUGUAAAGAAUGGGUAAAAAUGGCAGGAAAUGAGGAUCUAGCUUAUUUGCUCAUUGAAAAACUUAAUCAGUUAAGAUUCGUUUGUGGAAAGCAUUUUAAAAAUAGUCAUUUUAAAAGAUAAAAGGAACACAGCUGAAGAAAACGGCUGUACCAUCAAUAAGGCUUACUUCUAAUUGGAACAAUCAAAUGCAGAUAUAAAUAAAAUUGCUCAAUUAACGAGUUCAGCUAAGGUCCUUACACUGUCGCAACAUUUACGACAGUUAGUGCCUUUAACCAGUACAGAGGCCAAAUAACCACUAACAUAAACAACUGGUUGUUUGUCGAAACGUUCAAACAAAUCCUUUUCUACAUCCGUCUCAAUAUCUGGUAAAUGUAAAAUAGCAUCGUUACUAUCACAUAAAUAAUCGUCUAUAUCAUAAGCAACUGUGUGAUACGAGUGCUCUACACCAAUUAAAUCUUCUGAUUUUGAUUUUUUACUAAAUACCAAAUCAUGAAAUCUAACAUCAAUUGGUUAUCAUCAGGGUCACAAUUAGCUCCCCUUAUAGGAGUACUAAGAUUCGUUAAUAUAGUGGUUUUGAGUGCAGCGGUAAAAUGGUGGCAUGUCGGAUUUUGGUUUGUUGGAGAAUGUUGCCUAAUUAAACCGAAAAGAUUCUCCAAAGAAUCUUGAUUGAGUUGGCGCAAAUUAAGGAAUU